AUCUUCGGAUGGAAUUUAAGGAGGUUAGUGGCGGACGGGUGAGUAACGCGUGGGUAACCUACCCAUUAGCCAGGAAUAACUCCGGGAAACCGGAGCUAAUACCUGAUGCACUUUAAGGUAAGCAUUUACUUUAAAGAAAAGAUGGCCUCUCGAAGAAGCUAUCGUUAAUGGAUGGACCCGCGUCUGAUUAGCUAGUUGGUGAGGUAACGGCUCACCAAGGCCAUGAUCAGUAGCCGGCCUGAGAGGGUGAACGGCCACACUGGGACUGAGACACGGCCCAGACUCCUACGGGAGGCAGCAGUGGGGAAUCUUCCGCAAUGGGCGCAAGCCUGACGGAGCAAUGCCGCGUGAGUGGCGAAGGCCUUCGGGUUGUAAAACUCUGUCCUUAGGGAAGAACGGUCUAUAUGUGAAUAAUGUAUAGAAAUGACGGUACCUAAGGAGGAAGCCCCGGCUAACUACGUGCCAGCAGCCGCGGUAACACGUAGGGGGCGAGCGUUGUCCGGAAUCACUGGGCGUAAAGAGCACGUAGGCGGAUUAUUAAGUCAGAUGUGAAAACUCUGGGCUCAACCUAGAGACUGCA
rnacentral:rRNA from 1 species